UACGGAGGGUGCAAGCGUUAUCCGGAUUCACUGGGUUUAAAGGGUGCGUAGGUGGUCUGUUAAGUCAGCGGUGAAAGCCUGGAGCUCAACUCCAGAAUUGCCAUUGAUACUGACGGACUUGAAUCAAGUUGAGGUGGAUGGAAUAUUACAUGUAGCGGUGAAAUGCUUAGAUAUGUAAUAGAACACCAAUUGCGAAGGCAGUUCACUAAGCUUGCAUUGACACUGAGGCACGAAAGCGUGGGGGGCAAACAGG
rnacentral:rRNA from 1 species